rnacentral:rRNA from 1 species
AGAGUUUGAUCCUGGCUCAGGAUGAACGCUGGCGGUAUGCCUUAUACAUGCAAGUCGUACGAGAGUUUUUAACUCAAGUGGCGGACGGGUGAGUAACACGUAAGAAUUUGCCUUUAGGAGGGGGAUAACAACUGGAAACGGUUGCUAAUACCCCAUAUGCUUUCGAGUGAAAUGGAUUUCCGCCUAAAGAGAAGCUUGCGGCUGAUUAGCUUGUUGGUGGGGUAAUGGCCUACCAAGGCGACGAUCAGUAUCUGGUUUGAGAGGACGAUCAGACACACUGGAACUGAGACACGGUCCAGACUCCUACGGGAGGCAGCAGUAGGGAAUUUUCCGCAAUGGGCGAAAGCCUGACGGAGCAAUACCGCGUGAGGGAUGACUGCCUAUGGGUUGUAAACCUCUUUUUUCAGGGAGGAACAAAAUGACGUGUACCUGAAGAAUAAGCAUCGGCUAACUCCGUGCCAGCAGCCGCGGUAAGACGGAGGAUGCAAGUGUUAUCCGGAAUCACUGGGCGUAAAGCGUCUGUAGGUGGCUUGAUAAGUCAACUGUUAAAUCUUGAAGCUCAACUUCAAAAUCGCAGUCGAAACUAUCAGACUAGAGUAUAGUAGAGGUAAAGGGAAUUUCCAGUGGAGCGGUGAAAUGCGUAGAGAUUGGAAAGAACACCGAUGGCGAAGGCACUUUACUGGGCUAUUACUGACACUCAGAGACGAAAGCUAGGGUAGCAAAUGGGAUUAGAUACCCCAGUAGUCCUAGCCGUAAACAAUGGAUACUAGGUGUUGAACAGAUCGACCUGUGCAGUACUAAAGCUAACGCGUUAAGUAUCCCGCCUGGGAAGUAUGCUCGCAAGAGUGAAACUCA